GCCUCACCAUGAAGCCGGCGUAUGUUAGGCGUAUCUCUCUGGCGCUGCGGUGCCUCUAAAGCUAAGCAACUAUGUCUUCAUGAUUCAAUCCAAAUGACAACCAAGAUCACAUGAAGACCCACUGACUGCGAGCUAUGAUAACUGUGCCAGACAACGUUGACUGCAUCCACUCAGAGAUAUCUCUGAUCCACUCAAUUCUCUGAUGCCAUUCAUGGAGGACCAAGCAAGAAUCAACGGCAUGCAGCACUGAGGGAGGGGAUCUUCUCAC